rnacentral:lncRNA from 1 species
CCAAUGACUUCGAUAGGGGGAGGCGGUUGGCUUCAAUCAGCGAUAGGCCUGGGGCCCAGGGUGAGGAUGAAGUUGCAUAGAAAAAGAAGCUUCCUUUACUUUCUCUGAGAAUAGAAAGCAGUUUUGAUGUUUCUUCUGGUUGCUUCACCAAAUUAAUGAUGAGCUGAGGAGCACUGCAAACAGGUUGACAAAAAUACUGGUGUGUGGCUCAUCUGUGAUAGCAGGUGGGAAAAACCUAGCUGGCAAAAGCAAGAUUAUUCACAAUGUCACACUUCAUCAGCCAGAUUGUUACUGGGCCAGUUAGAAGAUGAAGAGGACAGUUGCUCAAUUAAUGGUCUCAAUGGAAGGUUCGACUGGCACAGAUUAAAAUUGGUUCAGAA